rnacentral:misc_RNA from 1 species
UUAAUUUCAUUUGUUUAGAUAACUCAGACGACACGUUUUAACAAUAGUUUUGGUGUGGGCCAUCGACAGGCACAGGCCCGGGGUCGCGAGACCCCCGGCGGCCCGCCCAGACGCGAGGUCCGGGCAGGCGGGCCUGCCGAAGCAACAUAAGGUCAGGUAGACAAAGGGUUGGAGGUCGGGCGCGGGUUAGGCACCCUAACUCGGUAAUGAUCCUUCCGCAGGUUCACCUACGGAAA